GGGUUGUGAGGUUAAGCGACUAAGCGUACACGGUGGAUGCCCUGGCAGUCAGAGGCGAUGAAGGACGUGCUAAUCUGCGAUAAGCGUCGGUAAGGUGAUAUGAACCGUUAUAACCGGCGAUUUCCGAAUGGGGAAACCCAGUGUGUUUCGACACACUAUCAUUAACUGAAUCCAUAGGUUAAUGAGGCGAACCGGGGGAACUGAAACAUCUAAGUACCCCGAGGAAAAGAAAUCAACCGAGAUUCCCCCAGUAGCGGCGAGCGAACGGGGAGCAGCCCAGAGCCUGAAUCAGUGUGUGUGUUAGUGGAAGCGUCUGGAAAGGCGCGCGAUACAGGGUGACAGCCCCGUACACAAAAAUGCACAUGCUGUGAGCUCGAUGAGUAGGGCGGGACACGUGGUAUCCUGUCUGAAUAUGGGGGGACCAUCCUCCAAGGCUAAAUACUCCUGACUGACCGAUAGUGAACCAGUACCGUGAGGGAAAGGCGAAAAGAACCCCGGCGAGGGGAGUGAAAAAGAACCUGAAACCGUGUACGUACAAGCAGUGGGAGCACGCUUAGGCGUGUGACUGCGUACCUUUUGUAUAAUGGGUCAGCGACUUAUAUUCUGUAGCAAGGUUAACCGAAUAGGGGAGCCGAAGGGAAACCGAGUCUUAACUGGGCGUUAAGUUGCAGGGUAUAGACCCGAAACCCGGUGAUCUAGCCAUGGGCAGGUUGAAGGUUGGGUAACACUAACUGGAGGACCGAACCGACUAAUGUUGAAAAAUUAGCGGAUGACUUGUGGCUGGGGGUGAAAGGCCAAUCAAACCGGGAGAUAGCUGGUUCUCCCCGAAAGCUAUUUAGGUAGCGCCUCGUGAAUUCAUCUCCGGGGGUAGAGCACUGUUUCGGCAAGGGGGUCAUCCCGACUUACCAACCCGAUGCAAACUGCGAAUACCGGAGAAUGUUAUCACGGGAGACACACGGCGGGUGCUAACGUCCGUCGUGAAGAGGGAAACAACCCAGACCGCCAGCUAAGGUCCCAAAGUCAUGGUUAAGUGGGAAACGAUGUGGGAAGGCCCAGACAGCCAGGAUGUUGGCUUAGAAGCAGCCAUCAUUUAAAGAAAGCGUAAUAGCUCACUGGUCGAGUCGGCCUGCGCGGAAGAUGUAACGGGGCUAAACCAUGCACCGAAGCUGCGGCAGCGACGCUGAUGCGUUGUUGGGUAGGGGAGCGUUCUGUAAGCCUGCGAAGGUGUGCUGUGAGGCAUGCUGGAGGUAUCAGAAGUGCGAAUGCUGACAUAAGUAACGAUAAAGCGGGUGAAAAGCCCGCUCGCCGGAAGACCAAGGGUUCCUGUCCAACGUUAAUCGGGGCAGGGUGAGUCGACCCCUAAGGCGAGGCCGAAAGGCGUAGUCGAUGGGAAACAGGUUAAUAUUCCUGUACUUGGUGUUACUGCGAAGGGGGGACGGAGAAGGCUAUGUUGGCCGGGCGACGGUUGUCCCGGUUUAAGCGUGUAGGCUGGUUUUCCAGGCAAAUCCGGAAAAUCAAGGCUGAGGCGUGAUGACGAGGCACUACGGUGCUGAAGCAACAAAUGCCCUGCUUCCAGGAAAAGCCUCUAAGCAUCAGGUAACAUCAAAUCGUACCCCAAACCGACACAGGUGGUCAGGUAGAGAAUACCAAGGCGCUUGAGAGAACUCGGGUGAAGGAACUAGGCAAAAUGGUGCCGUAACUUCGGGAGAAGGCACGCUGAUAUGUAGGUGAAGUCCCUUGCGGAUGGAGCUGAAAUCAGUCGAAGAUACCAGCUGGCUGCAACUGUUUAUUAAAAACACAGCACUGUGCAAACACGAAAGUGGACGUAUACGGUGUGACGCCUGCCCGGUGCCGGAAGGUUAAUUGAUGGGGUUAGCCGCAAGGCGAAGCUCUUGAUCGAAGCCCCGGUAAACGGCGGCCGUAACUAUAACGGUCCUAAGGUAGCGAAAUUCCUUGUCGGGUAAGUUCCGACCUGCACGAAUGGCGUAAUGAUGGCCAGGCUGUCUCCACCCGAGACUCAGUGAAAUUGAACUCGCUGUGAAGAUGCAGUGUACCCGCGGCAAGACGGAAAGACCCCGUGAACCUUUACUAUAGCUUGACACUGAACAUUGAGCCUUGAUGUGUAGGAUAGGUGGGAGGCUUAGAAGUGUGGACGCCAGUCUGCAUGGAGCCGACCUUGAAAUACCACCCUUUAAUGUUUGAUGUUCUAACGUUGACCCGUAAUCCGGGUUGCGGACAGUGUCUGGUGGGUAGUUUGACUGGGGCGGUCUCCUCCUAAAGAGUAACGGAGGAGCACGAAGGUUGGCUAAUCCUGGUCGGACAUCAGGAGGUUAGUGCAAUGGCAUAAGCCAGCUUGACUGCGAGCGUGACGGCGCGAGCAGGUGCGAAAGCAGGUCAUAGUGAUCCGGUGGUUCUGAAUGGAAGGGCCAUCGCUCAACGGAUAAAAGGUACUCCGGGGAUAACAGGCUGAUACCGCCCAAGAGUUCAUAUCGACGGCGGUGUUUGGCACCUCGAUGUCGGCUCAUCACAUCCUGGGGCUGAAGUAGGUCCCAAGGGUAUGGCUGUUCGCCAUUUAAAGUGGUACGCGAGCUGGGUUUAGAACGUCGUGAGACAGUUCGGUCCCUAUCUGCCGUGGGCGCUGGAGAACUGAGGGGGGCUGCUCCUAGUACGAGAGGACCGGAGUGGACGCAUCACUGGUGUUCGGGUUGUCAUGCCAAUGGCACUGCCCGGUAGCUAAAUGCGGAAGAGAUAAGUGCUGAAAGCAUCUAAGCACGAAACUUGCC
rnacentral:rRNA from 1 species